rnacentral:rRNA from 1 species
UACGGAGGGUGCAAGCGUUAUCCGGAUUCACUGGGUUUAAAGGGUGCGUAGGUGGGCAGGUAAGUCAGUGGUGAAAUCUCCGGGCUUAACCCGGAAACUGCCAUUGAUACUAUUUGUCUUGAAUACCGUGGAGGUUAGCGGAAUAUGUCAUGUAGCGGUGAAAUGCUUAGAUAUGACAUAGAACACCAAUUGCGAAGGCAGCUUACUACACAGUUAUUGACGCUGAGGCACGAAGGCCAGGGGAGCAAACGGG